rnacentral:rRNA from 1 species
ACGUUAUGGUGGGGACUCAUGGGAGACUGCCGGGGUCAACUCGGAGGAAGGUGGGGAUGACGUCAAGUCAUCAUGCCCCUUAUGUCCAGGGCUUCACACAUGCUACAAUGGCUCAUACAGAGGGCUGCGAGACCGUGAGGUGGAGCGAAUCCCUUAAAGUGAGUCUCAGUUCGGAUCGGGGUCUGCAACUCGACCCCGUGAAGUUGGAGUCGCUAGUAAUCGCAGAUCAGCAACGCUGCGGUGAAUACGUUCCCGGGCCUUGUACACA